GAGCGAGCGGCGGGUGUCCCUGAGAGGCCACCUUUCGACCUUCGAGGGCCAGGAGGAUACGGGGAGGUGGCCGGAGGGAGUUCCCGAACACAGGUCUUCCUGUUCCCGCCGAGCAGGUGUUGGCGGUGCCAGGCCCGGCCUGGCGGGCCCGGGCUGGCAGCCAAAUACCCAGCGUCUGUGCUCGGGACGGGAGUGUUCGUCCAGGACGUGCAGCUCCGGAGCCUGCGCGGGCGACCUUGACCACCUUUGUCGGCUGUUUCCCCCUGAGGGAAGUAUACCUGUCCUGCCAGCCUUGGUCUCUGGCAGGGAAGGUCCUUCCAACAGAGAGGGGUUCGGGAUACAUGCACAGAAUUGCUUAGAAUUGACUCAACACUGCCUCCUUGCUGAAUGGAUAAUUCAAGCAAACAACUCAAGAGCUGGAUGCUGCCCAGACAGGUAGGCAGCCAGAUAAAGUGAGUGUCCAGGGAAAGAGCAGUAAGGGUCAGAAGAGAAAGAGCCUGGUGUUCUCACUGCCUCCUGCCUUCCUUAUGACUGUCUGUUCAGAAGUCCUCCUAGCAUCUUUCUUCUGCCUUCCCCUGCUCCUGUCCCUGAAACCUUUUCUUCAAAAGAAGUGGAAAAGAGGAACUGGGAACCCAUAUAGCAACAGCAUCACCUGGAAUGAAUUCCUUUAGAACAUACUGUCUUGGAAAUCUGAAGCCUGCAGGGCUGGACAGGCAAGAAGAGCAGUGAGCACUGCAUGAACCUCACCCUUGAACUUCUAUAUGGUCUCCAAAGACAUGAUAAAUACAGAGAUUGCUCUCUCCUCUCAACUGCAACAGUAAUGAUUCCUUUGCAUUUUAAUUAAGUCUUUUACACAUGAAUAAGUCUUUAUCCUCAAAUGGACUAAAGACUCCUCGAGGACAAGAACUAUCCUUCAGUCCCAUACAUUGGUUACCUGGCAAAGGACCCUAAAUGCAGUCUUUCUUUAUUACACAGGCUGGACUCAAACUCCUGGGCUCAAGUGAUCCUCCCACCCUAUGCUCAGCCUCCAAGUAGCUGGUACUAUAGGUGUGCACCACUGCACCCAGCAAAAACCUUAAUAGAAAGGAAAUGAGCCAUGACUACUGAAAAUUAAGACUAGCUAUUAUCCACAAGAGGUGCUCGCUGCCUCUUUGCAGAAGUGAUUCUCAGCCAGAGACCUCAGUAUUUGGAGAAGAGACCUCUUAUCUAUUCCCCAGGGGUCUCAGACCAUUCAAAUCAAAGGAAAACAAUUGAUAACCUUGUAAUUAAUGGAAGGAGGGUCUGCUAAGCAAACAACCACAUAGAGAUGUUUUCUCUGAAAAUUCAGCUUUAUUAUUUGGCCAUGGGAUGAAUUGGGCUGCCUUGGGAAGCAGGAGUUUCCCUUCCCUGGAUUCAGGGAUUCAGACAUCAGAUGGCUAGAUGGACUGCAUGACUUUGAAGAACCUUUCCCACAAAGUCUCUGAUUCUAAAGCAAAGCCUACCCAGAAAUACAAAGGUCACAAUGCCUGUGGACAAUAGAGCGGCAGAGACUGGGCUUCAGCUAGGACACCUAGUUCUCUGAGAGCAUAAUAUCAGCCUGGAACAUCUUGCACCUUGAAUGGUGGAGCUGUGUCUUCUAAGACUUUCGUAAAAAGGUGAUUCAUGGAACGCAUCACUGAGCAAUGCCCUAGUUUAUUCUCUCUUUUCAAUUCUAAGACCUAAGAAUGGAAAGCACUAAGGGAAUGUCAGAGCCACACAAUAAGGGAAGGGCCAGAAUCCUGGUUUCCAGUCCAGGGCUGAACCUCCAGCUUUCCCUCUCUAUAAACAGAUGGAGUUGUCAUGGGCUGAAGAUACUUUCUAACUACUUUCUGCCCAUAGCAACAGUCCAAUGAAAACCUUCACUGAAUAGAAACUCAUAUGCAAUAUUAGAGCAAGAUGAACAGAGAAUAAGACAAAAGAAAAUAAAUAAAGAAGACAAUGGCAAAGGGGCAGAAUAUAAAGAAUUGAAGAGGCAGAGUAGAGAAAACAAGAAAAUGAAGGGAGUUUUUUUAAAAAAAAAUUCUACUCUAAAUGUAUGAGAUGUAGAGAGCCUUAACAUUUAAAAACUGCAAAGAAAGAAAGAUGGUAACAUGCAUUACAUACUAAGAAAGCCACACAAAAGAGAGUAAGGUUAAAAAAAGUUAUAAAUCUCUAUAAUUUAACUAAGAUUAUCUGAUGAGAACAUACACAAGAAAUGCUAGCUGCCUCUUUUCAAAAGUAAUUCUCAGCCAGAGGCCUCAGUAUUUGAAGAAGAGAUGUCCUGUCUAUUCCCCAGGGAUCCCAGGCCACCCAAAUUAAAGGAGAACAGUUGAUAACCUCAUAAUUAGAAGCAAGGCUUCUGUUGUGCCACCGUAGGGCCUUUACACUGCCUUUUCUCGGAGGACUCCCUUCCUUCCUCCCUUCACUACUCUCCAUUUCCUGCUUGUCGUUACUCUAAUUACUUUUACUGUUACUGUGUGGUGGUUGGUCUGGAGGACCUUCAAAAUCCCUUCCAACCCUCUGAGUCCACAAUUCUCUACUUCUGCUUUCAGAAGUACUCCCUACUGUCGCCUUUACUGGGAUCUGAGGUCCAGGGAAUAGUGUAGCGGUAUGUGAUGGGCACAGGGAUGACUCACGUGAUAGCUUGUGCACAUUGCCAUGGCUCAGCUAUCUCUUUGCUGGUGGAAAUAAUCUGGAAGAAUUGGUUCCAGGUCCACGGAGAGGUUGCUCGGUAUCAGACAGUAGUCGCCAUUGGAAGCAGAGGCCAUGUUUCAAAGUAGCUGAGAGUUAUUUUAUUAACGACAAUAAGGGUGAUGAACUAAGUAAUUUGAUGAGUACUUAAAGACAAAACCAUAGAACCUGCCCUUGAGGAACGCACAAACCAAAUGUGGCAACUCUAGGUCCUACGCAUUCAUAAUAAUCAUCACUGCCUGGUACUGAGCACCUUCUAGGUGCUGGGUACUGCUAAGCGUGUAACCUUUGCCAAGUUAUUUAAUCCUCAUGACAUCCAAAUGAAGCAAGUACUGUUGUCAUCCCCACUUUACAAAUGAGGUAGUGGAAGCCCAAAGAUUACAUACUUUACUGCUAUCAGGCAGCUUGUGACAGAUUGGGAUUCAAAUACUAUAUGCUUGGAGGCACAUUACUAGGCUGCCUUCACAAGUCCCCUUUUUGCAUCAGCCAUAAUCCAUUUAAUGAGUCAAGAUUGAUUGCAAGAGAACUGAGGUCCCCAGAUUCAUCUCACUCUGAUUUUAACACUACUUUCAAGAACUCAUGCUCCUAUGGGUCCUUUCUCACCGUGUCAUCUGUGAUCCAACCUGCUUUAACCUGUCUGUUCUCUUACCUGUCUGAACCUGCAGAUGCCCACACUGAGGGAUUCUCAGCCCUGGAAUCCUCCAUGUCUUCCCCUCACUUCACCAAUCUAUCCAGGACCCUGACUGCAUCAAGCCUUUGUAGCAAUGGCAAUGUUACCCCAAACUGACUGCAGAUGCCUGUGACCUUUGGGAUUCCCACCUGUGCUACUUGUCCUGUUCUUAAAUUAAAUAAAUGACCAAGUCAGGGAUCAUAUGCCAUCUUCAAGACAGGAAGUCCUGCUCUCCGGCAUCUUGUCCCCUGAUCCUAGGCAUGGUGUCACUUUCUGCCCAUAGGAACAGUCUAAUAAAAAACUUCACUUGGACUCUAUACUAAUUUACAAUUAAAAUUACUAGCUUUGUGAGAGUAUGCAAAGUAUUCAUGAACUAGGAUUUGGGGAUAGAAGAGGCAGAAAUGUUUUCCCAUAAUAAUGACUAAUAUAGCCAUCGCAAAUGAUAUUAUCUUUUUUUACUUAAUCCAACAAUACUUUUUCAACCCAACUUGAAGAUUAUAAUUAUCUGAAAAGAAGGAUAUUAAUUAUAAUUCAGACUUUUUUAUACCAACUUCCCCAUUCUUCCAGUCACCCCGCCCUACCUUCCCCAUGCCCUCCAGGCAUCCAAAAUUGUGGAAUCAGCAUGUAUAGGGCUGGGUACCCUGUGAAUACUCAGUAAAUAUUAAC
rnacentral:lncRNA from 1 species